UCCAUUUCCCUCUAUAACUCCUUCUCUGUCCUAAUAGCAAGCUGUGGGGCGGCCGGUAGUGUAGCGGUUAAGGUACCUGACUGGGACACGCAAGGUCGGUGGUUCGAUCCCCGGUGUAGCCACAAUAAGAUCCGCACAGCCGUUGCCCCAUGGGAGGAUUGUCUCCUGCUUAGUCUACUGUAAGUUGCUUUGGAUGAAAAGCGUCAGCCAAAUGACAUGUAAUGUAGUGAACCUAUUGAUUACUCCACGAUUGGUAUCCCUGUUGGUCUAGUUCCCCAGCUGUGUGAUCUCAAUGUCUCACACUACCGGCAUCUGGAAUCCCCCACUGCUGCUGUCUAGCCUCCCCACUACCCCCACCUGCAUGUUUCUUUAUUAAUAGAAAUGCAUUUCCAUUCAACAAUACAGCAACAGCGAAAGAACAGAAGCUGUUGGAUGAUGACAAGUUCUAUUACUAUACAGGUUCUUCCUGCCUGGCAGCAGAGAGUGAGAUGGGGGGCAUUCCUGCACUGCUUGUCUUGGCACCAGAUACCAAUAGACCUCAUUCCUGUGAAUAGGAGCCUUUCAUACUUCUCGGCAGUUGCCCACAGAUCGUAGCUGGACGUUUCCUGUUGGUUUGAAAGACGCAUGAGAUCAUCCUAACCCAGGGAGACGGACGGUGGUGCGUGAGGCGAUUCCCAAGAGGAAUGCACUGCUGCAAUUCCACAGGAAUGCUACUGGAAAAUAUGUCUGACAGGAAUAUGGAAGGGCAUCCCUUCCAAAAUUGCUAGGUCUACGUAACCCAGGAACAUGACCACCACAGAUUCGAGUGAUGUAACCACCCACAGUGUGGGUUUUGUGAGUAACUAUGUCAAUGUAAUUUUUUGUCCAAUAUGUUUAGGUCAAGUAGCACAUACCACAUCCGGCACAUUUAUGACCCAUUUGAAUAAUGAUGCUACCAAAUAUAAAUACUGUUCAUUUGAAUUUUAGGUCGUCUCCUAGGAAAGUCUGAGUGCUUCAAACAAUCAACUGUGAACAGUGGUUUGUUUCACAGCACCUGAAACAGAGGUUCAAUUGUAGCAUUAAUGGAAUUCCUCCUGAGCUACGAAAAGCCGAUUAGGGCUUGUCUUACCUCACAAAUCCCAGAACAUCUGUUUCAGGUUAAAGUUUCAAACGAUACUGUUGUUGGCCCAAUGUCAGCCUGUCAAAAUAUGCUAACUACUUAUCUGUGUUCU